rnacentral:rRNA from 1 species
UACGUAGGGUGCAAGCGUUAAUCGGAAUUACUGGGCGUAAAGCGUGCGCAGGCGGCUAUGCAAGACAGAUGUGAAAUCCCCGGGCUCAACCUGGGAACUGCAUUUGUGACUGCAUGGCUAGAGUACGGUAGAGGGGGAUGGAAUUCCGCGUGUAGCAGUGAAAUGCGUAGAUAUCUGGAGGAAUACCGGUGGCGAAGGCGGCAUCCUGGACCGGCAUUGACGCUGAGGAGCGAAAGCCAGGGGAGCAAACGGG